rnacentral:rRNA from 1 species
AUUGAACGCUGGCGGCGUGCCUAACACAUGCAAGUCGAUCGGUAACAGGGUGUAGCAAUACAUGCUGACGAGAGGCGGACGGGUGAGUAAUGCUUGGGAAUCUGCCUAUUAGUGGGGGACAACCCGGGGAAACUCGGGCUAAUACCGCAUACGCUCUACGGAGGAAAGCCGGGGACCGCAAGGCCUGGCGCUAAUAGAUGAGCCCAAGUCGGAUUAGCUAGUGGUAGGGAACGCCUACCAAGGCGACAAUCCGUAGCUGGUCUGAGAGGACGACCAGCCACACCGGAACUGAGACACGGUCCGGACUCCUACGGGAGGCAGCAGUGGGGAAUAUUGGACAAUGGGGGCAACCCUGAUCCAGCGACGCCGCGUGGGUGAAGAGGGCCUGCGGGUU